AGUACGUGUUCAUUAUUAACAUUAAUGUUUUUUUCCCUUUUUUUGUAUUAGAUUUUAAUCAGCAUUGAAUGAUUGUGGAGGGAUGUUUUCGGUGGAGUGUUAAAACUUUUCUACAAUUGCUUCUCCAACCUUGAGAGGGAAGGCCUGCUUAACCCUGAUAAUGAACUUCAUAUGUAUGCACUGCACUGGACAUUUCUUCCACACAUAAACCAACAUCUACAGUCCUUCAAAGAUGGCUGGAAUUACCAUACUUUGCGUACUGAAAGGCACCAAUCACCACAUCAGUUAUGGUGUGAAAAAAUCACAAGGAAGGCCAGGAUUCCCUCCAGUUUGAUUUGGAGCACGGAAUCGACUGGGAGGGUCCAAGUGGUCACCAUGAGGAGGGUGUUGCAGUCCCUGAAGUUAACCUUCCAAGGCAACUGACUGACCUUGAAUUACAAAGACUACCAAAUCCCCAUGGUUCUUUCUCCAGUGUAAUAAAUACAUACAGUGAAACAGUUGACAUAUUGUCCAAUAUAAUGAAUGAUUAAAUGCCAGAAAUAUGCAGUGAGUAAACAACCCAAUGAUUAAAUGAAAUGAACAGAAAGACAAAACAUUGAAAACAUUUGAAUUUUAUUUUGUUUACUUUCAUAAUAAUUUUUAUUGAAACGAAUAGCUAACAACUUUGAAUCUGAAACUGCUAUCAGCCAUCAGAACUACCGACUCAAGAUGAAAUAUCUGUAAACUCUCAAAACUGUUUCAAUUUUAUUUUGUUUACUUUCAUGUAAACUUGUUACAAAUAAACACCAAAACAUGUUA